rnacentral:rRNA from 1 species
GGGUUGUGAGGUUAAGCGACUAAGCGUACACGGUGGAUGCCCUGGCAGUCAGAGGCGAUGAAGGACGUGCUAAUCUGCGAUAAGCGUCGGUAAGGUGAUAUGAACCGUUAUAACCGGCGAUUUCCGAAUGGGGAAACCCAGUGUGUUUCGACACACUAUCAUUAACUGAAUCCAUAGGUUAAUGAGGCGAACCGGGGGAACUGAAACAUCUAAGUACCCCGAGGAAAAGAAAUCAACCGAGAUUCCCCCAGUAGCGGCGAGCGAACGGGGAGGAGCCCAGAGUCUGAAUCAGUGUGUGUGUUAGUGGAAGCGUCUGGAAAGGCGCGCGAUACAGGGUGACAGCCCCGUACACAAAAAUGCACAUACUGUGAGCUCGAUGAGUAGGGCGGGACACGUGGUAUCCUGUCUGAAUAUGGGGGGACCAUCCUCCAAGGCUAAAUACUCCUGACUGACCGAUAGUGAACCAGUACCGUGAGGGAAAGGCGAAAAGAACCCCGGCGAGGGGAGUGAAAAAGAACCUGAAACCGUGUACGUACAAGCAGUGGGAGCACGCUUAGGCGUGUGACUGCGUACCUUUUGUAUAAUGGGUCAGCGACUUAUAUUCUGUAGCAAGGUUAACCGAAUAGGGGAGCCGAAGGGAAACCGAGUCUUAACUGGGCGUUAAGUUGCAGGGUAUAGACCCGAAACCCGGUGAUCUAGCCAUGGGCAGGUUGAAGGUUGGGUAACACUAACUGGAGGACCGAACCGACUAAUGUUGAAAAAUUAGCGGAUGACUUGUGGCUGGGGGUGAAAGGCCAAUCAAACCGGGAGAUAGCUGGUUCUCCCCGAAAGCUAUUUAGGUAGCGCCUCGUGAAUUCAUCUCCGGGGGUAGAGCACUGUUUCGGCAAGGGGGUCAUCCCGACUUACCAACCCGAUGCAAACUGCGAAUACCGGAGAAUGUUAUCACGGGAGACACACGGCGGGUGCUAACGUCCGUCGUGAAGAGGGAAACAACCCAGACCGCCAGCUAAGGUCCCAAAGUCAUGGUUAAGUGGGAAACGAUGUGGGAAGGCCCAGACAGCCAGGAUGUUGGCUUAGAAGCAGCCAUCAUUUAAAGAAAGCGUAAUAGCUCACUGGUCGAGUCGGCCUGCGCGGAAGAUGUAACGGGGCUAAACCAUGCACCGAAGCUGCGGCAGCGACGCUUAUGCGUUGUUGGGUAGGGGAGCGUUCUGUAAGCCUGUGAAGGUGUGCUGUGAGGCAUGCUGGAGGUAUCAGAAGUGCGAAUGCUGACAUAAGUAACGAUAAAGCGGGUGAAAAGCCCGCUCGCCGGAAGACCAAGGGUUCCUGUCCAACGUUAAUCGGGGCAGGGUGAGUCGACCCCUAAGGCGAGGCCGAAAGGCGUAGUCGAUGGGAAACAGGUUAAUAUUCCUGUACUUGGUGUUACUGCGAAGGGGGGACGGAGAAGGCUAUGUUGGCCGGGCGACGGUUGUCCCGGUUUAAGCGUGUAGGCUGGUUUUCCAGGCAAAUCCGGAAAAUCAAGGCUGAGGCGUGAUGACGAGGCACUACGGUGCUGAAGCAACAAAUGCCCUGCUUCCAGGAAAAGCCUCUAAGCAUCAGGUAACAUCAAAUCGUACCCCAAACCGACACAGGUGGUCAGGUAGAGAAUACCAAGGCGCUUGAGAGAACUCGGGUGAAGGAACUAGGCAAAAUGGUGCCGUAACUUCGGGAGAAGGCACGCUGAUAUGUAGGUGAAGUCCCUUGCGGAUGGAGCUGAAAUCAGUCGAAGAUACCAGCUGGCUGCAACUGUUUAUUAAAAACACAGCACUGUGCAAACACGAAAGUGGACGUAUACGGUGUGACGCCUGCCCGGUGCCGGAAGGUUAAUUGAUGGGGUCAGCGCAAGCGAAGCUCUUGAUCGAAGCCCCGGUAAACGGCGGCCGUAACUAUAACGGUCCUAAGGUAGCGAAAUUCCUUGUCGGGUAAGUUCCGACCUGCACGAAUGGCGUAAUGAUGGCCAGGCUGUCUCCACCCGAGACUCAGUGAAAUUGAACUCGCUGUGAAGAUGCAGUGUACCCGCGGCAAGACGGAAAGACCCCGUGAACCUUUACUAUAGCUUGACACUGAACAUUGAGCCUUGAUGUGUAGGAUAGGUGGGAGGCUUUGAAGUGUGGACGCCAGUCUGCAUGGAGCCGACCUUGAAAUACCACCCUUUAAUGUUUGAUGUUCUAACGUUGACCCGUGAUCCGGGUUGCGGACAGUGUCUGGUGGGUAGUUUGACUGGGGCGGUCUCCUCCUAAAGAGUAACGGAGGAGCACGAAGGUUGGCUAAUCCUGGUCGGACAUCAGGAGGUUAGUGCAAUGGCAUAAGCCAGCUUGACUGCGAGCGUGACGGCGCGAGCAGGUGCGAAAGCAGGUCAUAGUGAUCCGGUGGUUCUGAAUGGAAGGGCCAUCGCUCAACGGAUAAAAGGUACUCCGGGGAUAACAGGCUGAUACCGCCCAAGAGUUCAUAUCGACGGCGGUGUUUGGCACCUCGAUGUCGGCUCAUCACAUCCUGGGGCUGAAGUAGGUCCCAAGGGUAUGGCUGUUCGCCAUUUAAAGUGGUACGCGAGCUGGGUUUAGAACGUCGUGAGACAGUUCGGUCCCUAUCUGCCGUGGGCGCUGGAGAACUGAGGGGGGCUGCUCCUAGUACGAGAGGACCGGAGUGGACGCAUCACUGGUGUUCGGGUUGUCAUGCCAAUGGCACUGCCCGGUAGCUAAAUGCGGAAGAGAUAAGUGCUGAAAGCAUCUAAGCACGAAACUUGCCCCGAGAUGAGUUCUCCCUGACCCUUUAAGGGUCCUGAAGGAACGUUGAAGACGACGACGUUGAUAGGCCGGGUGUGUAAGCGCAGCGAUGCGUUGAGCUAACCGGUACUAAUGAACCGUGAGGCUUAACCUUACAACGCCGAAG